CUUACUAUCGGUGGUACAAGCAAGUAUUAAUAUAUAUGUAUAGUGGCUAUAUGAGCAGUUGUAGAAGUGAAUCACAGUUUCGUUAUCUUCAUGUUGAUAAGCAGUGAAUUGUCAAGCGCCAAUUCGAUUUUUGAGUUCAAGGCGGUUCCGGUGUGUCGUGGCUGACACUGCUCUUGACUGUAUUUCAACUAGGUGAAGUCAAGCAAAAUAAAAUAAAGCAAGUAAAGCUUAAUUGAGGCGAAAAUUGAAGACAGGAAAAAAUGAAAACACAAAAUAUUGAAUAACAACAAUAAAGGAGGACAAGCUUCUACUGCACUCUGAUAUUUUUUAAAUAAAUGGAAUGCCCUGUAGGAAAAUACAAUUUUACAAAAUUGGUUCGAUUUGGUGUUCGAAAUUAUUUCAAGGUUCUGCUUUUUUAAUACGAAAAAUUGUUCAAUUCAAUCUUGUGUGACGCCUUUCAAUAUUUAUGUAUUACAAAUGUGAACUAAAUCGCAUAAUAAAUUUGUAUCAAAUUGUUCCAGCGGCAUUAAGCGGAUUUCAACUUAACAGACACAACCUAACCUUAAUUACUGAUUUUUUAUAGGCGAUUCUAUAGGCGCGAUUCAAGUUUUGGAACAAUUUGCCAGACCAUUUCACAUACAUUUUUAUUUUCCUACAGGGUGUGCUUAAUAUGUGCUUGUGGCUGUAUCGAUCGUUAAUCGGCCUGUUGAUUAAGUAAGCGGCGGCUGUGCGGUUUUAGUGAAGCAAAAAAUGCAAACAAUAAAAAUGAAAAUAAAUUGAAUGCAACUCGA